rfam:Xenopus laevis strain J chromosome 5S, whole genome shotgun sequence.
CCGCUGUGAUGAUUCUCCCAUUGGUUUCGCUUGUUUCUGAGAAGCAGUGACGUCUCCUUGUUCCUAUUGGCUGUCUGAGCGA